CCCUACGGGGGGCAGCAGUGGGGGGUAUUGCACAAUGGGGGGAACCCUGAUGCAGCGACGCCGCGUGGGUGAAGAAGCACCUCGGCGCGUAAAGCCCUGUCAGCAGGGAAGAAAAUGACGGUACCUGAAGAAGAAGCCCCGGCUAACUACGUGCCAGCAGCCGCGGUAAUACGUAGGGGGCAAGCGUUAUCCGGAUUUACUGGGUGUAAAGGGGGCGCAGACGGCGAUGCAAGCCAGGAGUGAAAGCCCGGGGCCCAACCCCGGGGCUGCUCUUGGAACUGCGUGGCUGGAGUGCAGGAGGGGCG
rnacentral:rRNA from 1 species